UACGUAGGGGGCGAGCGUUAUCCGGAUUUACUGGGUGUAAAGGGUGCGUAGGCGGCAAUGCAAGUCAGAUGUGAAACCCUGGGGCUCAACCUCAGGCAUGCAUCUGAAACUGCGUAGCUAGAGUGCAGGAGAGGAAAGUGGAAUUCCGAGUGUAGCGGUGAAAUGCGUAGAGAUUCGGAGGAACACCAGUAGCGAAGGCGACUUUCUGGACUGUAACUGACGCUGAGGCACGAAAGCGUGGGGAGCGAAC
rnacentral:rRNA from 1 species